UAAGCGACUAAGCGUACACGGUGGAUGCCCUGGCAGUCAGAGGCGAUGAAGGGCGUGCUAAUCUGCGAUAAGCGCCGGUAAGGUGAUAUGAACCGUUAUAACCGGCGAUACCCGAAUGGGGAAACCCAGUGUGACUCGUCACACUAUCAUUAACUGAAUCCAUAGGUUAAUGAGGCGAACCGGGGGAACUGAAACAUCUAAGUACCCCGAGGAAAAGAAAUCAACCGAGAUUCCCCCAGUAGCGGCGAGCGAACGGGGAGGAGCCCAGAGCCUGAAUCAGCAUGUGUGUUAGUGGAAGCGUCUGGAAAGGCGCGCGAUACAGGGUGACAGCCCCGUACACAAAAGCGCAUGUGCUGUGAGCUCGAUGAGUAGGGCGGGACACGUGGUAUCCUGUCUGAAUAUGGGGGGACCAUCCUCCAAGGCUAAAUACUCCUGACUGACCGAUAGUGAACCAGUACCGUGAGGGAAAGGCGAAAAGAACCCCGGCGAGGGGAGUGAAAAAGAACCUGAAACCGUGUACGUACAAGCAGUGGGAGCCCCACCACCAAAGCAUUUGCUGUACCGCGUUGACGGAGCGAAGCGACGUCAAACCGAUAAAACAGCAGUGUAAAGUGAGCCGCAGGGCGCUUUGCGCGACAGCGCAAAGGCAGGCGGUUUCGCGUAGCGAAAGCGAAUGCUUUGGGGUGGGGUGACUGCGUACCUUUUGUAUAAUGGGUCAGCGACUUAUAUUCUGUAGCAAGGUUAACCGAAUAGGGGAGCCGGAGGGAAACCGAGUCUUAAUUGGGCGUUAAGUUGCAGGGUAUAGACCCGAAACCCGGUGAUCUAGCCAUGGGCAGGUUGAAGGUUGGGUAACACUAACUGGAGGACCGAACCGACUAAUGUUGAAAAAUUAGCGGAUGACCUGUGGCUGGGGGUGAAAGGCCAAUCAAACCGGGAGAUAGCUGGUUCUCCCCGAAAGCUAUUUAGGUAGCGCCUCGUGAAUUCAUCUCCGGGGGUAGAGCACUGUUUCGGCUAGGGGGCCAUCCCGGCUUACCAACCCGAUGCAAACUGCGAAUACCGGAGAAUGUUAUCACGGGAGACACACGGCGGGUGCUAACGUCCGUCGUGAAGAGGGAAACAACCCAGACCGCCAGCUAAGGUCCCAAAGUCAUGGUUAAGUGGGAAACGAUGUGGGAAGGCCCAGACAGCCAGGAUGUUGGCUUAGAAGCAGCCAUCAUUUAAAGAAAGCGUAAUAGCUCACUGGUCGAGUCGGCCUGCGCGGAAGAUGUAACGGGGCUAAACCAUGCACCGAAGCUGCGGCAGCGACACUGUGUGUUGUUGGGUAGGGGAGCGUUCUGUAAGCCUGUGAAGGUGUGUCGUGAGGCAUGCUGGAGGUAUCAGAAGUGCGAAUGCUGACAUAAGUAACGAUAAAGCGGGUGAAAAGCCCGCUCGCCGGAAGACCAAGGGUUCCUGUCCAACGUUAAUCGGGGCAGGGUGAGUCGACCCCUAAGGCGAGGCCGAAAGGCGUAGUCGAUGGGAAACGGGUUAAUAUUCCCGUACUUGGUGUUACUGCGAAGGGGGGACGGAGAAGGCUAUGUUGGCCGGG
rnacentral:rRNA from 2 species